rfam:Schistosoma haematobium scaffold1208_6, whole genome shotgun sequence.
AUCCAGCUGACGAGUUCAAAUAUCGGACAAAACGCACGUCUUGGAU